GUUAAAAGUGGUAUCCUUCUUCUCCCUUAGAACCGAAAUUGGAAGAAAGGAGAAAGCUUGGUUUUAUCUCCCAUGAUCGGCCAUUGAAUUUAAGUAUUGCGGCCAUCGACUGUUUUCUCUUCAUUUCCCCUUCCUCUACGAGUCCGCGCGCUUUCGGACAAAAUCAUGGUUGCCUCCUUUAGUGACAAGUAUCAUAUUUUUCGGUAUAGACAUAAUGGCCUAUGUACAAAGAACUCUGGAGAAGGCAUCUUGAAGAGGCGUAAUUUCCCCACAAGAAAGAAUCUGAGAUUUCGCAGCCUCAAACUCAGAAGGAAGACCAGCUAAACAACUCAUCACCGCCAUUUGCUCUCAUUGAGCUUGCUGCACUUUGAUGUCUAAACUGAAUGGUAACAACAUAUUCAGUUCUUCAUAAGUUUUCUUGAGGUCCAUAAAUAAGCAGUGAUGGACGUGGCCUCUUUUUCAGCACGAUAAAAGGCUUUGCACACCUCAAA